rnacentral:lncRNA from 1 species
AUGGAAUUGGCUGCUACAAAAUCAUUGGAAGAGCCACAGAGAUGCAAGGUAGGGGGCCCCGACGUCAUGUUUCAGACCUCCAACCAUCUAUGCUGUCACAGUCAUGACGAACAGAAGGCACUGAGACUCCCAGGACCAACUAUCAACCAUCAUCUUCGUUGCCUUUGUGACAGCUGCUCUGAGGUCCUUGUAAAUUUGCCCCUUUGACUUCAUUCUGAUUCUGUGUCCAGAGUUUAAUGGGGGGUGGGGGGGGGAACUUCUCUCAAGCCUCAAACCCUAUGUUCAUCAGUGAAAGGGAUUCCAGGGGCAAACUAUCCGAGAUAGCUUCCAAUCUUUUCCAUUCUUACUCUUAAUCCAAGAAGAGGUUUUAUCUGAGCAUGAUAGAAAUGAUUUGGGGCGCCUGGGUGGCUUAGUCGGUUAGGUGUCCGGCUUCAGCUCAGGUCAUGAUCUUGCAGUCCGUGAGUUCGAGCCCCGCGAUGGGCUUUGUGCUGACAGCUCAGAGCCUGGAGCCUGCUUCAGAUUCUCUGUCUCCCUCUCUCUCUGCCCCUCCCCUGCUCACGCUGUGUGUGUGUCUCUCUCUCAAAAAUAAAUAAACAUUAAAAAUAUAUAUAUAUAUUAAU